CCUAGGGUUUUCCGCCGCGGCCACGGAGACCGUCUCCUCGCCCUUUGACACCUUCAAUCCUCGGCCAUGGCGCCCGUCAAGAAGGCGAAGAAGAGCACUGAGAGCAUAAACAACAGGCUCGCUCUCGUGAUGAAGAGCGGGAAGUACACCCUCGGGUACAAGACAGUCCUUAGAUCCCUCCGCAACUCCAAAGGGAAGUUAAUUAUAAUUGCUAAUAACUGCCCUCCACUUCGCAAGUCUGAAAUCGAGUAUUAUGCAAUGUUGGCAAAGGUUGGAGUACAUCAUUUCAGUGGCAGUAAGUACUUCUA